UGUAAAACGGGGCGGGGGGAUCUCUCCUAUGUAGUGAAAAUAGGACAAGGGGUCAUAAAUCCAAAACUAUUUUGUUUUUAAUUAAAGAAAAAUCUAUACAAAUGUAUAAACAUCUAUACAAAUGUAUACACAUGUAAUAACAGCAUAACACAUGUCACACAUGACAUGAUGGCAAAGUGCGUCAUGCUACAAUCUUCUCCAAAAAAACUGAGCUCUCCCUUUACCAUUCACACUGCUGAUACAUUUGAUGUGACUGUAAAUUCAAAGGCUCGUUUACAUUCAAACCGGUGACAAUUUCGGUGGGGCACAGCCUAUUUGUUCAACCGAGACUAAUGUUCACAGCCCAGACUAGCAGCUAGCUUCUACACACCUAAGUAGCCCGUAUGAGCUAAUUAGAUAUACUGUUUGUGACAUUAAUUUAGCCA